rnacentral:pre_miRNA from 1 species
CUACUACUCCCUCCGUCCGAAAAUACUUGUCAUUGAAAUGGAUGUAUCUAGAUGAAUUUUAGUUCUAGACACAUCCAUUUUGAUGACAAGUAAUUCCGGACGGAGGGAGUAUUAU